rnacentral:rRNA from 1 species
GAUGAACGCUGACAGAAUGCUUAACACAUGCAAGUCAACUUGAAUUUGGGUUUUUAACUUAGGUUUGGGUGGCGGACGGGUGGGUAACGCGUAAAGAACUUGCCUCACAGCUAGGGACAACAUUUGGAAACGAAUGCUAAUACCUAAUAUUAUGAUAAUAGGGCAUCCUAUAAUUAUGAAAGCUAUAAGCGCUGUGAGAGAGCUUUGCGUCCCAUUAGCUAGUUGGAGAGGUAACGGCUCACCAAGGCGAUGAUGGGUAGCCGGCCUGAGAGGGUGAUCGGCCACAAGGGGACUGAGACACGGCCCUUACUCCUACGGGAGGCAGCAGUGAGGAAUAUUGGACAAUGGACCGAGAGUCUGAUCCAGCAAUUCUGUGUGCACGAUGAAGUUUUUCGGAAUGUAAAGUGCUUUCAGUUGGGAAGAAACAAAUGACGGUACCAACAGAAGAAGUGACGGCUAAAUACGUG